CGGGUGCUGCCCCUCUCGUAUGACGGUUUCAUUCCGGUGGCCUUAAGCAAAUCCGAGGGAGCUGGCUCUGUCCUGGCCCUGGCCUGGUUACCUGGCGCCCACCUGUAAAAACAGGUCCUCGGGAAUGCGCAAACCAAGACGGUCGCGUGCGGGCCCGCC
rnacentral:sRNA from 1 species